GCCCGGCUAGCUCAAUUGGAUAGAGCGUGAGACUCUUAAUCUCAAGGUUGCGGGUUCGACCCCCGCGUUGGGCU